UUUUCAGUUUCAUAAUGAAACUUCAGAAGACAGCGGCUUUCCUUCUUCGUUUAAUCGUGUUAUCAUCCUCUACCUCAGACUUCAGCAGAGUUGCUCUCGUCGCUCUCCUUCCUCCGUGGCUUGCGGCCUCAGUGACUCCUCUAGUCUGCUGCUUGUUGCUCUUCAUUCAUCUCCCUGGUCUCCCUCUCUUCGUUCAUCAACAUUAUCUCUUCUUCUCGGUGUCUUCUCUUUGCUUUGUCUCGCAAGCCAAGCGCACCCUAAGAAUUGGUACUCUUCAUGGAAAUUCUCUCGCACCCUCUCUGCUGCUCCACCACCAUGUUCAUCAAGAACAGUUUGAGCUGUAGACAACCCCUUCAGAUGCGCCGCCAGCAUAAUAUUUUCAUUUCAAGACAUAUUUCGUCACUAUCUUUACCAGUCUGCACCAAUCUCUCCCACCAUUCUGUUUUAUUCGCGAUGCCAGAUAACCAGUUGAGCCUUGGGGUGGACAGAGAAUGGGCACUACAAGAUUUUUAUUCCUUGCGGAGGGAUGUUGAAAUUUUGUCAAGACGUGUUGAAGAGACUAGAGAGUCUGCUGGUAUACUGCGAUUGGAACAAGAACUAGCUAAUUUGGAGUUGAAAGCUGCCGAUAGCUCCUUUUGGGACAAUCAAGCCAAAGCUCAAGAGGUUCUUCUGACCUUGACUGAUGUAAAAGAUAAGAUUAGAGUUCUCACUGAGUUUAAAACCCAGGUUGAGGAUGCAGAAACAAUAGUUAUGCUGAUGGAGGAGAUGGACUCCAUUGAUAGAGGACUUCUUGAGGAGGCUGUCAAUAUUAUCAAAGAACUGAAUAAAGCACUAGAUCGAUUUGAGUUGACUCAACUUCUUUCUGGUCCUUAUGACAAAGAAGGAGCAGUUAUCUCUAUUACUGCUGGUGCUGGUGGUACAGAUGCACAGGACUGGGCUGAUAUGCUUCUUAGAAUGUACAUGAGAUGGGGAGAAAAACAGAGAUACAAGACCAGGGUGGUUGAGAAAUCCUCUGGAGAAGAAGCAGGGAUUAAAUCUGCCACCAUUGAAGUUGAAGGUCGUUAUGCGUAUGGGUAUAUAUCUGGGGAAAAAGGGACACACCGUAUUGUUCGACAAUCUCCUUUCAAUGCUAAAGGCCUUCGUCAGACAAGCUUUUCUGGUGUUGAAGUCAUGCCUCUUCUUCCUGAAGAAUCUCUGGAUGUUGAGAUUCCUGAGGAGGACCUGGAAAUCAGUUUUUCAAGAGCGGGUGGAAAAGGAGGUCAGAAUGUAAAUAAGGUUGAAACUGCAGUUCGGAUUACGCACAUCCCAACUGGUGUUACAGUUCGCUGCACAGAAGAGAGAUCCCAACUAGCAAACAAGAUAAAGGCAUUAAGCCGUCUAAAAGCUAAGCUGUUAGUGAUUGCUGAGGAGCAACGAGCGUCGGAAAUCAAGCAGAUUCGCGGAGACGCAGUGAAGGCUGAAUGGGGACAACAAAUACGAAACUACGUUUUCCAUCCGUACAAACUCGUAAAAGAUGUUAGGACGGGGUAUGAAACUUCUGAUAUUUCUUCAGUUAUGGAUGGCGAGCUAGAGCCCUUCAUCAAGUCUUACCUCAAACACAAGUUCAAUAUGGCAUCAUCACAAACAUGAUGAGGAUUAAAUUAUGUAUAGGUGCCAGACAUGGUUUCUCUUUGUUGUGUUUUUGUUAUGAUUCUAAACUAUUGAGAUCAUCUAUUAAUAGUAAGAUUGAGUUGUAGAAGAAAGAAAAAUCAAACUCAAAAUAUAGGAUAGAAUAAACCCUGUUAGGCCAUACCUGAUAGCUAGAAGGCUCAAGAAUGCAUGAUGGAAGCCACAACCUCCAUAUGGGUUUGUAAUCCAAGAAUCUUCCAUGGUUUGGUCUCAUAAUCUCAUUUGUCGAUUGGGAAGGAGGACUGUCAUGAACAUGAAGAUACAAAACACUCUUGGACACUAUUUUCUCUUUUUGGACGAUGGCUCUAAAUUUCUGAAUGCUGGGAGUAUGAAAGGGAAAUUAAGAAUCAACAAUCAUUCUAGAAUGUGUAAAAUAAAACCAGGUACAGAUCUAACAAUGAGAGGAUCCUUAAGCAGCUGCAGUGAUGCAUUGGAUUGCCUGCUUGCAUAUACCAGUCAUGGUUUUUUCUGGUCCAUAGACCUGUAAAUACACCCAGAAAAAUGGUCAGACCCAGUUGUUUUGGACAAAAUAUGACCUUCCACAGAACAGAGGAUUUAAUUGUGUUUGCAGUUUCCAUGGGAUUUGUGUCUCAUAUAAUGCUUAGUUUGUCUUACUUGCCUUUGGAUAAUUUCCAUUCACAUGUGAAUGCAGAGGAUGCAUUCUAAGAGUGAAAGACAUAAGAGAAUGUGGUUGUAUAUAAGGCCCACACCUCAUACUAAGAGAAUGGGAUCUACCAUUCCAUUUUGAUUUUAA